ACGACUACAACUCCAGAAAUCAACCAAAGACUCUGAUGAGGCCCAAACACCGUUAAUAAUGGAAGAGAACGAGCUACGGCAACGGACUUUUCCUGGGG